UCUCUGUUAGUAUAUCGGUUAGUACACGCGCCUGUCAUUCACUUGGCCGCGCGAAAGCGGGGUUCGACUCCCCGACAGAGAG